rnacentral:rRNA from 1 species
CCUACGGGAGGCAGCAGUGAGGAAUAUUGGUCAAUGGACGCGAGCCUGAACCAGCCAAGUAGCGUGAAGGAUGACUGCCCUAUGGGUUGUAAACUUCUUUUAUAUGGGAAUAAAGUGUUCCACGUGUGGCUUUUUGUAUGUACUAUAUGAAUAAGGAUCGGCUAACUCCGUGCCAGCAGCCGCGGUAAUACGGAGGAUCCGAGCGUUAUCCGGAUUUAUUGGGUUUAAAGGGAGCGUAGGUGGAUUGUUAAGUCAGUUGUGAAAGUUUGCGGCUCAACCGUAAAAUUGCAAUUGAAACUGGCAGCCUUGAGUACAGUAGAGGUGGGCGGAAUUCGUGGUGUAGCGGUGAAAUGCUUAGAUAUCACGAAGAACUCCGAUUGCGAAGGCAGCUUACUGGACUGCAACUGACACUGAGGCUCGAAAGUGUGGGUAUCAAACAGGAUUAGAUACCCCAGUAGUC